rnacentral:lncRNA from 1 species
AUUUCUUUCUUCAAGUCAACACUCCCCCUCAAGCUUGACUCUAGGUGAUCCUAAGUCAAGCUUGGAACCUUGAAGAACUUCCUCAUUAAAAACCUCACCAAGGAAAACCCUUUGGGACAAAACUUUGAUGAGGGGAAAAGAAUAAAGGCUCCAAGGCCUAGGGAUUGGCCAGUGAGCUCUUGUGCCUUAGAACCAGUGUGGUUGGACACAAGAAGCUCUGGAUCACGGCCUAAACAGGUGCAGCAACACUUUAAGGCUUUCGCACACUUCACCACACCUUCUUGGACUCUUCUAUAGAACCGGUUUAGUGUCUCCCCCUUUCACCGGACUUCAUGCCACCUUGAAUGGCUAGGAGCGACCUGAUCCUCUCCAUUGAGUCUCCAAGUAAGGUACCUGAUACAUUAUUCCACAAGUGUAUCAGUACUUAUCAAGUAACAUAACUCAAUCAAUUCAAAUUCAAAUGAUGCUUAUAGACCGUCUUUAGUAAAACUAGUAUUCCUGAUAGAUUACUAGAUAUGUUGCCAUCUAGUAACACUAGUAUUCCUAAUAGAUUACUAAAUAUGAUUGAAAAUGAUGAAUUGAAUUGAGUUUAGGGAAACUUCCCUUUUUCUUUUGGUGAGGAGUGACUGGAUUGGCUCGUCACUUGAAUCCCUCAUACUAGGCUAUUGCACCAUCCUCAUGGCAACACCAACUCUUCUUGGAACUCUCCUUUGGACCGGCCUAAGUCUUCCCUUCUCUCGUGGCUUCUUGCCAUCUCCAUCAGGUAAGACAUGCCUAGCUCCUGCUCAUUGAGUAUCCAAGUACUUGUAUUAAUGGUGAGGAGUGGCUGCUCUUCACACACCACUUGAAUCCCUCACUUGCUGCGCUUAACAACUCCUUGUUGUAUCAUGCAAGCUUGAGACCGAGUAUAGGGAAGAUCCAAGCUUGAAGGAGAGCGCAUACUAAGCUCCAUGAUCACCCUUGUGGGAACACCUCCAUCUUCUUCAAACUUGAUGCUUACUGCCCCCACUUAACCACCAUUGCACUGAGGAGAUACCUCAGCUCACUCUCCAAGCACCUCACACCAGAAGCUUAUUGAGUAGCUUUCUUCUUCCCUCCACUUCGGCUGGAUCACUCCAUGAUCAGCUUGCAAUGGUCUUGGUCUUAAUUGCAUCACCCUCCUGGUGAUGCUCUUCCUUGCAUGACUAAUGUCCUCUCUACACUCAUCUGAUGUGUAGGCUAUGGGGACUAAACCACCAUGGACAGAACCGCAAGUCACCUCUCCAUUGUCACAACAUCCUCUCUACCCUCUUUGGAGCAGGCUGCGGACUUCUCCACAGAAUGUUGGCAAUAGGCUUCAUCUCUCCAUUGUCACAACAUCCUCUCUACCCUCUUUGGAGCAGGCUGCGGACUUCUCCACAGAAUGUUGGCAAUAGGCUUCAUCUCUCCAUUGUCACAACAUCCUCUCUACCCUCUUUGGAGCAGGCUGCGGACUUCUCCACAGAAUGUUGGCAAUAGGCUUCAUCUCUCCAUUGUCACAACAUCCUCUCUACCCUCUUUGGAGCAGGCUGUGGACUUCUCCACAGAAUGUUGGCAAUAGGCUUCAUCUUAUCAUUCUCUUGUAAUGAUAAGGAGGAAACAGGUCUUGAACUUUGGCUCUUUAGGUUGCUCAUUUGAAUCCCCACCGCAAGCUUGAAUUGAGUAUAGGUUCAAGCUUGAAAUGAGCCUCAAUGAACUUUAAGACCAGGAGCACACUACCCUAACAGCUGCGCUUAAAUCACUGAUCCACCCUUUUGCCUUCAGCUUCAAGUACCCUCAGAUCACCGGCCUUCCUCAGGACUUAGGUGGUGACCUUCUUCUUCUUGUGUGUCUUGAAUCGAGAGCUCAACAACCUCGUGGCAUGCGCUUCUUAAACCGGCUUCUACACACAAGCACCUUCCCAUUGCUCCACACAAUGGAUCAAGUCUUCCUCUUGUGUGUCUUGAACCAGGAGCUCAACAACCUCGUGGCCUGCGCUUCUUAAACCGCGGAUUCUCAUUUACUUCAACUUGCCUUAUUUGGAGUCUUUGGCAAUAACUUUCCAACAGCUACUUCCUAAACAAGUUGUGCACGACUUCAUCACAUAUCAAGCCAUCAAGAAGAUUCCUAGUAAGCUCUCAUAUCCACUCAAACCGUCCAGGUUCAAGAGGAAUCAAGUUCCCCAUUUAUGGCCAAGCAAAUCUCAUUCCAACGACCAUAUUUUUCCAUUGAAGACUAAACUUUAUUUUCAAGUUAUUUUCUUUCCUUGUAUUGUUUUUGACCGUUUGGUCUUGUCUAGAGUCCCCUAGGAGAGCCUAUAUAAUUUCCAGUCGUCCAUCAUUGUAAAGCACCCCCCAUCUUGAAAGUAUUAUGAAAUAUUUAGUUUUCUAGUUUUCUUAUAACUAUUGUUCUGAGUCUUUAGAGUGUUGUAAGAAACAGCUCUAAAGCAACUUGACUUAUCAAGGAUCCCUUCCAUAGAUAUUUGUGGCAUCCAUCAUCCAUCUCCAUCCAUUAAUCGAUAUUGAGAGUGAUACACAUCCAUCAAGACCGGUUCCAUCUUCAUCCAUCUUCCAUCCAUCGAUCUUUAUUGAGACUGAUACACAUCCAACAAUAAAGAUCUCAUCUCCAUCCUAUCUAUCUCUUUCCUAUUUGUUUUAUUCAUAUUAUCAUUCUUAUUCUUAUUCAUAUUUGUUUAUGUUUGCAUCAUAAAAAUCCAUUCUCUUUGUUUUCAGGGUUCCGCUUGCUUCCACCAAUUAUCAAUUUGUGGGUUACCAUUUCUUUCUUCAAGUCAACACUCCCCCUCAAGCUUGACUCUAGGUGAUCCUAAGUCAAGCUUGGAACCUUGAAGAACUUCCUCAUUAAAAACCUCACCAAGGAAAACCCUUUGGGACAAAACUUUGAUGAGGGGAAAAGAAUAAAGGCUCCAAGGCCUAGGGAUUGGCCAGUGAGCUCUUGUGCCUUAGAACCAGUGUGGUUGGACACAAGAAGCUCUGGAUCACGGCCUAAACAGGUGCAGCAAC